UCGUUGAUUUCACACUGCCGAGAAAAGCCUCUAGAUAGAAAAUAGGUGCCCGUACCGCAAACCGACACAGGUAGUCAAGAUGAGAAUUCUAAGGUGAGCGAGCGAACUCUCGUUAAGGAACUCGGCAAAAUGACCCCGUAACUUCGGGAGAAGGGGUGCUCUUUAGGGUUAACGCCCAGAAGAGCCGCAGUGAAUAGGCCCAAGCGACUGUUUAUCAAAAACACAGGUCUCUGCUAAACCGUAAGGUGAUGUAUAGGGGCUGACGCCUGCCCGGUGCUGGAAGGUUAAGAGGAGUGGUUAGCUUCUGCGAAGCUACGAAUCGAAGCCCCAGUAAACGGCGGCCGUAACUAUAACGGUCCUAAGGUAGCGAAAUUCCUUGUCGGGUAAGUUCCGACCCGCACGAAAGGCGUAACGAUUUGGGCACUGUCUCAACGAGAGACUCGGUGAAAUCAUAGUACCUGUGAAGAUGCAGGUUACCCGCGACAGGACGGAAAGACCCCGUGGAGCUUUACUGUAGCCUGAUAUUGAAAUUCGGCACAGCUUGUACAGGAUAGGUAGGAGCCUUUGAAACGUGAGCGCUAGCUUACGUGGAGGCGCUGGUGGGAUACUACCCUAGCUGUGUUGGCUUUCUAACCCGCACCACUUAUCGUGGUGGGAGACAGUGUCAGGCGGGCAGUUUGACUGGGGCGGUCGCCUCCUAAAAGGUAACGGAGGCGCUCAAAGGUUCCCUCAGAAUGGUUGGAAAUCAUUCAUAGAGUGUAAAGGCAUAAGGGAGCUUGACUGCGAGACCUACAAGUCGAGCAGGGUCGAAAGACGGACUUAGUGAUCCGGUGGUUCCGCAUGGAAGGGCCAUCGCUCAACGGAUAAAAGCUACCCCGGGGAUAACAGGCUUAUCUCCCCCAAGAGUUCACAUCGACGGGGAGGUUUGGCACCUCGAUGUCGGCUCAUCGCAUCCUGGGGCUGUAGUCGGUCCCAAGGGUUGGGCUGUUCGCCCAUUAAAGCGGUACGCGAGCUGGGUUCAGAACGUCGUGAGACAGUUCGGUCCCUAUCCGUCGUGGGCGUAGGAAAUUUGAGAGGAGCUGUCCUUAGUACGAGAGGACCGGGAUGGACAUACCUCUGGUGUACCAGUUGUCGUGCCAACGGCAUAGCUGGGUAGCUAUGUGUGGACGGGAUAAGUGCUGAAAGCAUCUAAGCAUGAAGCCCCCCUCAAGAUGAGAUUUCCCAACUUCGGUUAUAAGAUCCCUCAAAGAUGAUGAGGUUAAUAGGUUCGAGGUGGAAGCAUGGUGACAUGUGGAGCUGACGAAUACUAAUCGAUCGAAGACUUAAUCAA
rnacentral:rRNA from 1 species